rnacentral:lncRNA from 1 species
ACUGCAUUCACCAACACAGAUUGCAACCCAUCUGUGACUUAGUGAUUGAGUCAAGGGUAAUUGACUGAGACGCAUAGUUCACUAUCUUUCUCUGGCUUACACAGUUAGUAAGUUGGUGGCAAGAUUUGAAGCCAAGUGUUUCUGACUCCAAGCCUAGUCACCUCUCUAUUAUGCCACCUCCUAGAAGUUAUCUGUGUUACUUUUGUCUUUUUCUAGAAAUAUCAUGGAAUCUCAGUAUAUGAAUGAAACAUAAGAAUGAAAUGAAGGCAAUGGAAAUUCAGAGAACAUUCUCUUUGAUAAAUAACAGAGGGAUAGAAAAAUGGUAUAUAAAAAGGAGAGAAGAGAAUGAAUGUUACCAUCAGAUCAACCCUUUAAACUGGACAACUUGCCCUCAUGGGUGAAGACCCUUGGACACUACAUGGGAGAAGUUUGUUCAGGGAUAGAAGCUUUAGGCUGGAGAGGAUCUCCCCAGGUUUCUUAUCCUGUUUUCUCACCUAAAGAAUUAUAAUGAGAUAGAGUGAAUGAGAUCUAUGGGGAAAGCAGUGGACCUAGAGACUAAAGGAGUAAAAUGGAACCAAAGCCUAAAGUGGUUUUUAAUGUGGAAAAUAUCAAACACAAUAUUCUUAGUGUCAAAACCUGGGCAUAGCAGGUGAGAAAAGAAAAAUAAAUAGAAGAAUAUUACAGUGUUGGUAUUAUUG